UCAUGCUGACUGAGCCAUGGACCAUACUGACAUCUCAGGACAAUCUUCUUCCUUUGUGUGUUCAGGCAUUAGACCAUCACAUCUCCACACUUUGCAAUGAAACUUAUCUUGUAGAGCUGGGAGGGUUACCUCUGUUGAUGUCCAUUUAUCAACAAUACAAAAACAACAGCAGUGUUUGCAAAAUGAUCUGCAGAAUUUUGGCAAGAAUCUGUUCACAUCAAGAAUUUCUCCCUCAGGUUUUUUCAUCCGGAUGGAUAGGAGUCCUGGCUAUGUGGCUGGAGAGUGAGGAUCAACC